UAAGGAUUGAAAUCACAGCCAACAGACGAAAUGGUGUACUGCUUGUAUUCACAGAAGAACUUAAUGAUCGGUCUACGGACGCUUUUAAGGCUUUGGAAGAUGUCUUUUGUGGUGCGGUUUCAACGUAUUUGAAUGUAAGCUUGAAUUCAGCUCAGCUCAUCAGUAUCACAUGUGAGGUAGUCUCUUUCCAAAAUGGUAGUGUGAUUGGUGAUCUUCGAAUCGGUCUCGCAGCACCAUCUCAGGAUUCCGCUGAUAGUCUUGCUCAAUCAGCCACUGACCUAUCACCUGCCAAUGAGACAUUACCCUUUCUCGACGAUUCUCUUUACGUCGAAGAGCUAGCCAUAGACAAAAUGACCACGCCCACAAA